rnacentral:rRNA from 1 species
GCCCAGGAAAAGAAUUUUAGUUCGACCUUAAAAACAUUUACAAUAUACAUAUACACAAUGCCCAUAAGAGCCAUUCAAAAGAGGUACAGCUCUUUUGAAUAAGGAAACAACCUAAAACCACGGGUAAUGAUUAUAUUAACCAAGGGACCUCGCCCAAGUGGGCCUAAUAGCAGCCACCUUAUAUAAACAGCGUCACAGCUUAAGCACCCAUAACCCCAAUAAUACGAAUAACCAAUCAAAACCCACCAACACUACUGGGCCUAUCUAUAAUCCAUAGAUCCGCUCAUGCUAGAAUGAGUAACAAGAAUUAAACCAUCUCCCAAUGUAAGUGCAACCCAGACCGAACCAAUCACUGGCAAUUAACGGCCUCAAUGAGAUAAAUGUAGCAACUCUACAAGAAAACCCUACAACCACCACCGUUAACCUAACACAAGAACAUAUUAGGAAAGAUUAAAAGACAAGGAAGGAACUCGGCAAAUAUGAACCUCGCCUGUUUACCAAAAACACCGCCUCUUGCAAACAAACAUGUAUAAGAGGUAUCGCCUGCCCAGUGACAAUUGUUCAACGGCCGCGGUAUUCUGACCGUGCAAAGGUAGCGUAAUCAUUUGUCUUUUAAAUAAAGACCAGUAUGAACGGCACCACGAGGGCUCAACUGUCUCCCCUGUCUAAUCAGUGAAAUUGAUUUCCCAGUGCAGAAGCUGGGAUAAUAACAUAAGACGAGAAGACCCCAUGGAGCUUAAGACACAAAAGCAUCUGCCCCCCCCCCCAAUAGUCUUAUAGCAGCCAUGACUUUCUGUCUUCGGUUGGGGCGACCACGGAGAAAAAUAAUCCUCCGAGCCGAACGGGGCACACACCACCCCCUAACCAAGAGCCACAACUCCAAGUAAUAGGACCUCUAACGGAAUCUGAUCCAAACUGAUUGAUCAACGAACCAAGUUACCCUGGGGAUAACAGCGCAAUCCACUCCGAGAGUCCAUAUCGACGAGCGGGUUUACGACCUCGAUGUUGGAUCAGGACUCCCUAAUGGUGAAGCCGCUAUUAACGUGUUCGUUUGUUCAACGAUUAAAGUCCU